GACAACGUGGCCGAGUGGUUAAGGCGAUGCCCUGCUAUCUCUCUAGAGACAUCAUAGGCAUUGUAUUCGUACGCGUAGGUUCGAAUCCUGCCGUUGUCG
rfam:Fusarium langsethiae strain Fl201059 Fl201059_contig12, whole genome shotgun sequence.